GAAAUUCAGCUUGCCCCCAAUUUUUUCGAGGUUCGACUAAAAAUUUUGCUAAAAUGACUGUACUACUAAACUGGAUGAUGGAAAUUAUUACGUAAUUUAUGUGUAUUUUCCCAUAGACUGGUUGGAAAUAUCUUUCGAAAUCGGUGUACCCGAAUAUAGUCCUUCUUCUGGAAUAGCCUUGGCAGUGGAACAGUGUCAUUGUCCUUCCAACUACGUCGGAUUGAGUUGCGAAGAAUGUGCUGACGGGUAUUACAGAUCUUCCACCGGUCUUUUUGGUGGUAAUAGUAUACCUUGCCAGUGCAACGGACACACUGCCACUUGCGAUAAAGCGACUGGAGUUUGCAUUGAUUGUAAACAUAAUACCACAGGAGAUCAUUGCGAGAAGUGCAAAAUGGGAUAUUAUAGAAAUUCUACGGUCGGAUCGCCGAAUGAUUGUUUGAUUUGCGCGUGUCUUUGCCGAUACAUUCGAACAAUUUGCCACUGAACUACAUGGGUUACAUUGGAUAAGAAAAGAUAAUAUAGGUAAGCAAGGUGAAAAAGAAAUGCCAAAUAUGUGACAGAUCAAUGAAAGUGACUAAUCGUUAACUUAUGGGUUGUUCAAUAGUUUGAAAAUAGUAAUAAAUAUGUUAUCCAAUUAUUUUGAAACACGUAGUUUGUGAUUGUUUUUUCUUGCCAUAGGGUGAUGGCGAUUUUGUCUUAUUCUGUAUUUUAUAUUAUACAUAUUUGUUAGAACUGAAAGCUCGUAAGUUUUUUGUUAGUUGAAGAAUUGUGAACUUCUAGACUGUGUUCAGUCAAGUUGUAUGGAAGUUUUCUGCUCAUGUACAUAUUUGUUGAAAUGGAUUAUUAAAAUAAUGUUGAAUUAUAAUUAUGAAAAAAAUAAA